UACGUAGGGUGCAAGCGUUGUCCGGAAUUAUUGGGCGUAAAGAGCUCGUAGGCGGUUUGUCGCGUCUGCUGUGAAAACUCGGGGCUCAACUCCGAGCUUGCAGUGGGUACGGGCAGACUAGAGUGCGGUAGGGGAGACUGGAAUUCCUGGUGUAGCGGUGGAAUGCGCAGAUAUCCGAAAGAACACCGGUGGCGAAGGCGGUGGUCUGGGCCUGAACUGACGCUGAGGAGCGAAAGCCAGGGGAGCAAAGCGGG
rnacentral:rRNA from 1 species